UACGUAGGGGGCAAGCGUUGUCCGGAAUCAUUGGGCGUAAAGCGCGUGUAGGCGGUCCGGUAAGUCCGCUGUGAAAGUCGGGGGCUCAACCCUCGGAUGCCGGUGGAUACUGUCGGGCUUGAGUACGGAAGAGGCGAGUGGAAUUCCUGGUGUAGCGGUGAAAUGCGCAGAUAUCAGGAGGAACACCAAUGGCGAAGGCAGCUCACUGGGACGGUAUUGACGCUGAGACGCGAAAGCGUGGGGAGCAAACAGG
rnacentral:rRNA from 1 species